rnacentral:rRNA from 1 species
CGGCACGCCUAACACAUGCAAGUCGAGCGCUCUAACCACUUCGGUGGGGACGGGAGCGGCGGACGGGUUAGUAACGCGUGGGAACAUACCCUUUUCUACGGAAUAGCCUCGGGAAACUGAGAGUAAUACCGUAUACGCCCUUCGGGGGAAAGAUUUAUCGGUUAAGGAUUGGCCCGCGUUAGAUUAGUUAGUUGGUGGGGUAACGGCCUACCAAGACGACGAUCUAUAGCUGGUUUGAGAGGAUGAUCAGCAACACUGGGACUGAGACACGGCCCAGACUCCUACGGGAGGCAGCAGUGGGGAAUCUUAGACAAUGGGCGCAAGCCUGAUCUAGCGAUGCCGCGUGAGUGAAGAAGGCCUUAGGGUCGUAAAGCUCUUUCGCCUGUGAUGAUAAUGACAGUAGCAGGUAAAGAAACCCCGGCUAACUCCGUGCCAGCAGCCGCGGUAAUACGGAGGGGGUUAGCGUUGUUCGGAAUUACUGGGCGUAAAGCGUACGUAGGCGGAUUAGUAAGUGAGGGGUGAAAUCCCAGGGCUCAACCCUGGAACUGCCUCUCAUACUGCUAGUCUUGAGAUCGAGAGAGGUGAGUGGAAUUCCGAGUGUAGAGGUGAAAUUCGUAGAUAUUCGGAGGAACAUCAGUGGCGAAGGCGGCUCACUGGCUCGAUACUGACGCUGAGGUACGAAAGUGUGGGGAGCAAACAGGAUUAGAUACCCUGGUAGUCCACACCGUAAACGAUGAAUGCCAGACGUCGGGUAGCUUGCUAUUCGGUGUCACACCUAACGGAUUAAGCAUUCCGCCUGGGGAGU